rnacentral:rRNA from 1 species
AUUGAACGCUGGCGGCAUGCUUUACACAUGCAAGUCGAACGGCAGCGCGGGCUUCGGCCUGGCGGCGAGUGGCGAACGGGUGAGUAAUACAUCGGAACGUGCCCAGUAGUGGGGGAUAGCUCGGCGAAAGCCGGAUUAAUACCGCAUACGACCUGAGGGUGAAAGCGGGGGAUCUUCGGACCUCGCGCUAUUGGAGCGGCCGAUGGCAGAUUAGCUAGUUGGUGGGGUAAAGGCCUACCAAGGCGACGAUCUGUAGCUGGUCUGAGAGGACGACCAGCCACACUGGGACUGAGACACGGCCCAGACUCCUACGGGAGGCAGCAGUGGGGAAUUUUGGACAAUGGGCGAAAGCCUGAUCCAGCAAUGCCGCGUGUGUGAUGAAGGCCUUCGGGUUGUAAAGCACUUUUGGCGGGAACGAAAAGGACUGUGCCAAUACCAUGGUUCGAUGACGGUACCCGCAGGAUAAGCACCGGCUAACUACGUG